rnacentral:rRNA from 1 species
AGCAGCAGCCGCGGUAAUACGGAGGGUGCAAGCGUUGUCCGGAUUUAUUGGGUUUAAAGGGUGCGUAGGCGGCUAUUUAAGUCAGCGGUGAAAGACUCCGGCUCAACCGGAGCAGUGCCAUUGAUACUGGAUAGCUUGAGUGUUGGAGGGGUACAUGGAAUUGAUGGUGUAGCGGUGAAAUGCAUAGAUACCAUCAGGAACACCGAUAGCGAAGGCAUUGUACUGGCCAACAACUGACGCUGAGGCACGAAAGCAUGGGGAGCGAACAGGAUUAGAUACCCCAGUAGUCCCUGUCUCUUAUAC